rnacentral:lncRNA from 1 species
CAGGUGCAGACCAGUUCCCAAAGCCCUGCACGUGGGUUUCUCCGGAGAACUCGAGCUGGGUUUCAAUAGGACAGCCUGGACCUGACGUGCUCCUGAGGCGUGGGAUUCGAGCACUGCCUCUCAGGCCUGUAGGUAGACGUUUUUAUGAGUUUCCUGGAGAUUUAGGCAGCGUAAAAGGACACAUCAAGCCGCGAAGACUGCUAUUGUAGCUUUCCGUAAUAGGUGACGCUGUUUUCCAGAAGCAGCGUGUACUUUGAUUUUUGCUCUCACCGUCUUCGUCUAUUUGCUCAGCAGAGCCGUUUUCUCUCCCUCUCUUCACUUUUACUUUCUGGAGUACACUUUGCCAGUGCUUUUUGCUCGUUUUGUUCCGGAUGUGAAGAACCUGGAAUCCAACUCCGGAAGGAGAUGUUUUGGCUGAAAAAAGAAACGGGCUCUCCUUGAGCUGAAGAGAUUCGCCCAAGCAAGACCACACAGUGGGCAGAGGAAGUAAGUAAAAUCUCGUUUACGAGGUACCUAACGCUGAGCCUGACACACAAGUGUUUAUACUUAAUUUGUUUAUUUUUCAAGUCUUCUCCAUUCCGUCACCUUGCUCUUACCUCUUAACAACC